UAUAGGCCCCUUGGGGCCUGCUUACACAUGCAGUCGAACGAUGAAGCCCAGCUUGCUGGGUGGAUUAGUGGCGAACGGGUGAGUAACACGUGAGUAACCUGCCCUUGACUCUGGGAUAAGCCUGGGAAACUGGGUCUAAUACCGGAUAGGAACGUCCACCGCAUGGUGGGUGUUGGAAAGAUUUAUCGGUCAUGGAUGGACUCGCGGCCUAUCAGCUUGUUGGUGAGGUAAUGGCUCACCAAGGCGACGACGGGUAGCCGGCCUGAGAGGGUGACCGGCCACACUGGGACUGAGACACGGCCCAGACUCCUACGGGAGGCAGCAGUGGGGAAUAUUGCACAAUGGGCGAAAGCCUGAUGCAGCGACGCCGCGUGAGGGAUGACGGCCUUCGGGUUGUAAACCUCUUUCAGUAGGGAAGAAGCGAAAGUGACGGUACCUGCAGAAGAAGCACCGGCUAACUACGUGCCAGCAGCCGCGGUAAUACGUAGGGUGCGAGCGUUAUCCGGAAUUAUUGGGCGUAAAGAGCUCGUAGGCGGUUUGUCGCGUCUGUCGUGAAAGUCCGGGGCUUAACCCCGGAUCUGCGGUGGGUACGGGCAGACUAGAGUGCAGUAGGGGAGACUGGAAUUCCUGGUGUAGCGGUGGAAUGCGCAGAUAUCAGGAGGAACACCGAUGGCGAAGGCAGGUCUCUGGGCUGUAACUGACGCUGAGGAGCGAAAGCAUGGGGAGCGAACAGGAUUAGAUACCCUGGUAGUCCAUGCCGUAAACGUUGGGCACUAGGUGUGGGGACCAUUCCACGGUUUCCGCGCCGCAGCUAACGCAUUAAGUGCCCCGCCUGGGGAGUACGGCCGCGAAGGCUAAGAACUCAAAGAAAAUUGAACUGGAACUGCC
rnacentral:rRNA from 1 species